GCGCCACUAGCUCAGUUGGAUAGAGCAUCUGCCUUCUAAGCAGAUGGUCACUGGUUCAAGUCCAGUGUGGCGCACCA
rnacentral:tRNA from 1 species